UCAAGCUACAUAAGGUGUACGUGGGGAUGCCUUGGCACCAAGAGCCGACGAAAGACGUGGUUUAACUGCGAUAAGCUUCGGGUAGUCGUAAACAGGCUUUGAUCCGGAGAUUUCUGAGAUUCGGAAACGACCUGGGGAAAACCCCCAGGGACGGUAUGUGAAUCCAUAGCAUGCCGUUGGGAACGCAGGGAACUGACCCAUCUAAGUACCUGCAGGAAAGGAAAGAAACAUCGACUCCCCCAGUAGCGGCGAGCGAAAAGGGAAUAGCCUAAACCAUAUGUGUGUAAGCUGGUAGGCGUUGCAUAUAUGGGGUCGUGGGAUCUGUAGGCGGAGCUACUAAUCCGCAACGGAGUUACAAAGGUCUUCUAUAGUCGAACCCUCUGGAAAGUGGGGCCAUAGCGAGUGAUAGCCUCGUAGACGAAAUAGUUGACUCUCCGGCAGUAAUCCCGAGUAGCGCCAGUCUCGUGAAACCUGGCGUGAAUCGACGGGGACCACCCCGUAAGGCUAAGUACUACUUGGUGACCGAUAGUGCAGAAGUAGCGCGAGCGAAAGUUGAAAAGUACCCCUGACAGGGGAGUGAAAUAGUACCUGAAACCGUACACUUACAAGCGGUCGGAGCCCUAUGAUUCGUUCAGGGUGACGGCGUGCCUUUUGCAUAAUGACCCGGCGACUUAGUUUAUGUGGCAAGGUUAAGGAUCUCUGGUCCGAAGCCGAAGCGAAAGCGAGUGCGAAAUGUGCGAAAAACCAUCUUCGGAUGGCAGUCAUAUGGACUAGACCCGAAAGCAGAUGAUCUAACCAUGGGCAGGGUGAAGCGGAUGUAAAAGUUCGUGGAGGCCCGAACAGCUGAAUGUUGAAAAAUUCUCUGAUGACCUGUGGUUAGGGGUAAAAGGCCAAUCAAAUCUGCAGAUAGCUGGUUCUUUCCGAAAUAACUUUAGGGUUAGCCUCGUGUUGUAACAUGUGGGGGUAGAGCUACUGUUCUGGUUGGGGGGGCUCACCGCCUACCCCGCCUAGAUAAACUCCGAAUACCACAUGCGGAAUCACGGGAGUGAGACUACGAGGGAUAAGCUUCGUGGUCGAGAGGGAAACAGCCCAGACUAGCAGUUAAGGUCCCUAAUCAGUGCUAAGUGUUUUUAAGGAAGUGAAGCUGCUAAGACAGCUAGGAUGUUGGCUUAGAGGCAGCCAUCAUUUAAAAAGUGCGUAACAGCUUACUAGUCGAGCAGCUUUGUGCCGAAAAUGAACGGGACUAAAGCACUGAACCGAAACUCUAGAAUGUAUUUGGUGAACGAAUACAUUGGUAGGAAAGCGUUGAACCAACGACCGAAGGCUGAGGGAAACCACAGCUGGACGAAGUUCAAGUGAUUAUGCCGGGAUGAGUAGCGAUAAAAGAAGUGAGAAUCUUCUUCGCCGUAAGCCGGAGGUUUCCUGGGGAAGGUCAUUCCGCCCAGGGUUAGUCGGCUCCUAAGGCGAGGCCGAAAGGCGUAGUCGAUGGAAAGCAGGUUAAUAUUCCUGCACCACCGUCUGGACGUUUGCACCGUGGGGUGACGGCGUUUCGAUGGAGAUCAGUCCGAAAGAUGACUGUUGCUGAUGAGGAGUGGCUGGUAGGUAAAUCCGCCAGCGUAAUCUCUGAUUCGGGAGGCCCCUUAAGGGGUAACUCUCCUGACAAACGUCCAAGAAAAUCCUCGUUCGGAAGACCAGAUGUGUGGCCGUACCGAAACUGACACAGGUAGGCAAGAUGAAUAUUCUCAGGCGCGCGAGAGAACUCUCCUUAAGGAACUCGGCAAAUUAGCCCCGUACGUUCGCAAUAAGGGGCGCCAUGGAAACAUGGCCACAGAAAAGAGGUAGGAGCGACUGUUUACUAAAAACACAGGUCUCUGCUAAGUCGGAACGACGACGUAUAGAGACUGACGCCUGCCCGCUGUUGGAACGUUAAGGCAACUGGUUAGCGUAAGCGAAGCUAGGAACCGAAGCGCCAAUGAAGGGCGGCCGUAACUAUGACGGUCCUAAGGUAGCGAAAUUCCUUGUCGGGUAAUUUCCGACCCGCACGAAUGGCGUAACGACUCGUACACUGUCUCAACGAGGGACUCGGCGAAAUUGUAGUUGUGGUGAAGAUGCCACAUACCCGCACCAAGACGGAAAGACCCCGUGAACCUUUACUGCAGCUUAAUACUGGGUUUAGGUGCGUUAUGUGUAGGAUAGGUGGGAGACGUUGAAGCGGGAACGCCAGUUCUCGUGGAGUCAACCGUGAAAUACCACUCUUAGCGUACUUGAA
rnacentral:rRNA from 1 species